UAAGUUUGUGAUCUUCGCUAGAUUGCUCCGGUCAUUAGUGUGGAUAAGUAUGUAAAUGGAUAGAGACAGGAAGCAAACACAAGAUGUACGUGGUUCACCCAGAUUGGCUACGUUACGGAGUAAAGGAGUUCUCAUUAAUUGUGAAGGGUUUACACAGUAUAUAGGUUCAAGCUCUCAUUUAGUGAGUACAAGUGAAUGAUUUAGUACAAAUGACAUUAGGAAAUAUUGUGGAAGAAUGAUCUUGUAAUCACAAAACUUUUAAGUACCGAAGUGUGGUAUCGUCUUCACUUGCCUUAUCUGUCUCAUAGGUAGAUGUGACAUCUUCUUUGGAAGUACUCUUCCUCCCUCCAGGGGUGGUAUCUUUAACUGGUGGAGAUGCACAA
rnacentral:lncRNA from 1 species